AGGAGGACAGGAGGGGUGGGAAGAGGAGAGAUGAGUGGGAAACUACCUUAGAGAAAAGGAAACCACCCUGGAGAGCCUUUGUACGGGACCUGGCGUUUCACUGGUGCUUAGUAUGUGCCAGUGUGAAAACCAGCAGCAGCCAGCCCAGCUUGGAGAGUCCAAAGGACUUCUGACAUUGUCCCAUGUGAUCUCCCAUUGGAAAGCAGAAUUCCACCCCAAGCCCUGCAGUCACAGCCUGAAUGUGUCCAGGAUUGUGGCCAGAGGGGUCUCAUCUGCAGGAAUGGAGACCCAGUGUCCUAAAAUGGCGAGAGUUGUGACUCCUACAGAGAGAAAAUGUCAACAGAAGGCAGCAUAGGCGCCAGUCCCCAUAAAUUCGUUUUGGGGGGGAGGGGAUGAAGAAAAAAUAUAUAUAUAUAUUCAUUCAUUAGGGAACAGAAAUCCUUUCUCGGAUGGGAUGUGAGAAGCCAGUCCUUCUAGUUUGUGUUUAUCUCCCCCUCCCACUUCUCCCCAACAGGUAACAGAGAAUGACUUUGAACUUCUGACCUUCUGGCUUCCACCUCCUGAACACUAGAGUUGCAGGCAUGCGCCACCAAACUUGGUGUAAACAAUGCUGAGGACUGAACCUAAGGCUUUGUGUGUGCUAGGCUAGCACUCUGCCCUACUACAUCCCCAGCAAUCUCCAGCAAUCCCCCGUGAAUUCAACCAUACACAAACAGCCCUCCUGGCUUGGCAAAACACAAGCGAGGCCUAGCAGCGAAAAUAUGUCUGAAGAACUUGCUAGAAAUGUAGAUGCUAAGUCUUGCUGGGAGAGAAACAAGAUGAGACUCAGUGGCAGUGUCUAAGCAGCCUUCAGAGGCUUGGGGGGUGGCUGGGGUUUAUAGUCAGUGGUUUGCAGCUAUGAGGAGGAAGUUUGCCUCCCAUAGACUUCUCAACAGUACCCAUUGCUCUUUGAAAACACCAGAGAUUCUGAUUCUCAGGCAGCUCUCACACCCUGCAGCCGUUCAUUUACCGUAGAGUCCUGUAUCACCUAACCUCUGAGGGGUGCUCUGAUGGCCAGUGACUUCUAAAAUGAUGCUCUCAGGGCUCCUAACAAUGGUCUCUUUUAUUCUGGAAAGUCUAGUGUGUAGGUGGUUUUGUCAUGGUUAUUUUGUUUGGCUUGUUUGUUUGAGCAAGAGGCCUGGAUCCCAGUUUUGGGGUUAUAGGUGUGUGGGGUUAUAAGGUGCUGGGAAUGGAAUUCAGGGUUUCAUGCAUACUAGGCCAGUACUGACCAACUGAGCGACAUCUCCACCCCUGGGCUUUGGUUUUGUUCAUUUGUUUUUGAGAUGAGAUUUUGUAGUGUAGCCCAGAACUGCCUCAAACUCAAGAUCCUCCUGCUUCAGCCUCCAGAGUCGUGGGAUUAUAGGCAUAUAUCACCAUUCCUACCUUUAUUCUGGAAAUUCUGAUGUGGUGAUUUGAAGAUGCUUGGCCCAGGGAGUGGCACUAUUAGGAGGUGCAGCCUUGUUAGAGGGGAUGGGCUUUGAGAGACCCUCCUCCUCGCUGCCUGGAAAUCAGUCUUCUCCUUGCUGCCUUCUGAACAAGAUGUAGAACUCUCAGCUCCUCCUGCUCCAUGCCUGCCUGGAUGCUGCUGUGCUCCCACCUUGAUGAUAAUGGACUGAACCUCUGAAACUGAGGUGCUCCUGAAUGACUUCUGAAGGACUUUAUCUCUGCAUGUGAACAACUUCAACUUCUGCACAACUGUCACAUCCAUGCCAUAUGCUGUGAUAUUUCAAUACACACAUACUGUGUUCCGUAUUUUUUUUUUUUUUUGGUCUAUUUGUCACAAGCUAAGAUCAUCUGGGAAGAGGGAACCUCAGCUGAGAAAAUCCCUCCACCAGACUGGUCUGCAGGCAAGUCUACGAGACAUUUUCUUAACUGAUGAAGGUUGUGCGAGGGGACAGUCUAUGGGUGAUGCCACCCCUGGGCAGGUGGUCCUGGGUCGGAUGCAAAAGCAAGCUGAAGGCUGUGCACAGGUAUACAUAUCUUUAUCCCAGCAUUUAGGAGGCAGCAGCAGGCAUCUAGAGGUGAGUUUGAGACCAGCUUGGUCCAAGCCAGCCAAGCAGGCUGAGAAAGCCAAAAGCAGUGUUCUGCAUGGCUCUGCUUCAGGUCCCAC
rnacentral:lncRNA from 1 species